CAGGUUUAACCAAUGCAAGUGUCACUUGUUUGGUUGCUCUGCUAUAGGUAUGCCUGGCUUAGUUACCACUUGUUUGGUUGCUAGGCUUAUCCGGGUGCAUUCACCUCAUCUUUGUGUUGGUGAACUUACCUCCACCUUCUUCUAUGGUUCAAGCAUUUUGCCGAGCAGGUUGGCAGCGCCCAGUACUCCACCAGCCCGUAGUGCUUCUUCCUCCUC
rnacentral:lncRNA from 1 species